CAACGACUCUCGGCAACGGAUAUCUCGGCUCUCGCAUCGAUGAAGAACGUAGCGAAAUGCGAUACUUGGUGUGAAUUGCAGAAUCCCGCGAAUCAUCGAGUCUUUGAACGCAAGUUGCGCCCGAAGCCAUCUGGUCGAGGGCACGUCUGCCUGGGUGUCACGC
rnacentral:rRNA from 6 species